AACGAACGCUGGCGGCAGGCCUAACACAUGCAAGUCGAGCGCGCCCUUCGGGGUGAGCGGCGGACGGGUGAGUAACGCGUGGGAACGUGCCCUUUUCUACGGAAUAGCCUCGGGAAACUGAGAGUAAUACCGUAUACGCCCUUUGGGGGAAAGAUUUAUCGGAAAAGGAUCGGCCCGCGUUGGAUUAGGUAGUUGGUGGGGUAAUGGCCUACCAAGCCGUCGAUCCAUAGCUGGUUUGAGAGAAUGAUCAGCCACACUGGGACUGAGACACGGCCCAGACUCCUACGGGAGGCAGCAGUGGGGAAUCUUAGACAAUGGGGGCAACCCUGAUCUAGCCAUGCCGCGUGAGUGAUGAAGGCAGUAGGGUUGUAAAGCUCUUUCAGCUGGGAAGAUAAUGACGGUACCAGCAGAAGAAGCCCCGGCUAACUCCGUG
rnacentral:rRNA from 1 species